rnacentral:rRNA from 1 species
GUGUGGAGUACGGCCCACCANGNCGACGACGGGUAGCUCGGCCUGANAGGGCGACCGGCCCACUGGGACUGAGACACGGCCCAGACUCCUACGGGAGGCAGCAGUGGGGAAUAUUGCGCAAUGGGCGAAAGCCUGACGCAGCGACGCCGCGUGGGGGAUGAAGGCCUUCGGGUUGUAAACCCCUUUCAGCAGGGACGAAGCGAAAGUGACGGUACCUGCAGAAGAAGCGCCGGCUAACUACGUGCCAGCAGCCGCGGUAACACGUAGGGCGCAAGCGUUGUCCGGAAUUAUUGGGCGUAAAGAGCUCGUAGGCGGUCUGUUGCGUCCGCUGUGAAAACUCGGGGCUUAACCCCGAGCCUGCAGUGGAUACGGGCAGACUAGAGGUAGGUAGGGGAGAAUGGAAUUCCCGGUGUGGCGGUGAAAUGCGCAGAUAUCGGGAGGAACACCGGUGGCGAAGGCGGUUCUCUGGGCCUUACCUGACGCUGAGGAGCGAAAGCGUGGGGAGCGAACAGGAUUAGAUACCCUGGUAGUCCACGCUGUAAACGUUGGGCGCUAGGUGUGGGAUCCUU